rnacentral:ncRNA from 1 species
UAAAAGCGAAGCCUUGACGAGUAGGCAGGCGUGGGGGUCUUGUAUAGAAGCCGUGGGCGUGAGCUCUGGUGAAACGGCCCCUAGUGCAGAUCUUGGUGGUAGUAGCAACUAUUCAAAUGAGAUCUUUGAAGACUGAAGUGGAGAAAGGUUCCUAGAGAACAGUAGUUGGUCUAGGGUUAGUCGCUCCUAAGAGAUAGGGAAGUUCUGUUUUAAAUCG